CGGAGAAUCCAAGCGUUAUCCGGAAUCAUUGGGUUUAAAGGGUCCGUAGGCGGGUUUAUAAGUCAGUGGUGAAAGCCCAUCGCUCAACGAUGGAACGGCCAUUGAUACUGUAGAUCUUGAAUUAUUAGGAAGUAACUAGAAUAUGUAGUGUAGCGGUGAAAUGCUUAGAGAUUACAUGGAAUACCAAUUGCGAAGGCAGGUUACUACUAAUGGAUUGACGCUGAUGGACGAAAGCGUGGGUAGCGAACAGGAUUAGAUACCCUGGUAGUCCACGCCGUAAACGAUGGAUACUAGCUGUUCGGAGCAAUCUGAGUGGCUAAGCGAAAGUGAUAAGUAUCCCACCUGGGGAGUACGUUCGCAAGAAUG
rnacentral:rRNA from 1 species